GGCGGCCGCCAUGUUUCCUGAACACAAAAUGGCGACACGUGGUUAGCAUUCGUCGCCAACGAGAAAUUGGGGUCGGCCCGAAAGCUCUAGAAUGCACCCCUCUUCCUCCCCGGGGCCUUCCACCUCCGCGAGUUUUAUGACUUAAAAAAGCCCACAGGCUGGUCUGAAGAGGAAGACAAACAUAAAGAUGAAGUGCUUAAUUCAAGGUCACACAAUGUCGGGGAUGGACCUCCAGAUUUCCUUACUGGUGAGACGUGGUCUUGUAACACAGUGGUUAAGAAUGUGACUUUGGAGCCAGCCUGCUAGGGGCUGAAUUCUGACUCAGCCAUUUACUAACUGUGUGACCUUAGGUCACAGAAUUUUCCACACUCCUUGACAGAGGUGCUUAACCCUUAUCCAUCAGCAUUCUCAGACAGCACCUCCGGUUAGGGACAGUAUCUGACCGUCCGACAUCCCUGCAGCCCCCAUGUGUCACACAGACUCAGCCUCAGGUAGAUGGUUUCCGUAGAUGGUGGCUUUCUUUGGACCCUUGACAUCAACCAGUUACUAUUUGCUCCUGCAACCACCGCUGUACUUUCUGUCUCUAUGAACUUGACUACUCUAGACACCUCAUCCAGAGACAGACUCCCAGACUCGGCCAGAGGCUGAUGCCAACUCCUUCCAGCUCUCACGGGGACCAGAUGUGCAGAGGUAAUGAAUACCAGGGAAUCAGGAAACCACUGGAUCAGUUCUUUGAGCCACAGAACAACACUCAUCCCAGCAGCUGGGAAGCUAUCUGCAAAAGUCCAUCUGCAGAAAGGGCUUCCUGGUCUUGCGUGUGGCUGGGCCAUUUCUCUGGAUGCAGGUUUUUCAUUAUACAGUCUUCUCAAAGAACCACCUGCUCUCAACACC
rnacentral:lncRNA from 10 species